rnacentral:rRNA from 1 species
UACAGAGGUCUCAAGCGUUGUUCGGAUUCAUUGGGCGUAAAGGGCGCGUAGGCGGCCUUCUAAGUCGAACGUGAAAUCCCCGGGCUCAACCCGGGAACUGCGUCCGAUACUGGAAGGCUUGAAUCCGGGAGAGGGAUGCGGAAUUCCAGGUGUAGCGGUGAAAUGCGUAGAUAUCUGGAGGAACACCGGUGGCGAAGGCGGCAUCCUGGACCGGCAUUGACGCUGAGGCGCGAAAGCCAGGGGAGCAAACAGG